rnacentral:rRNA from 1 species
GACGAACGCUGGCGGCGUGCCUAAUACAUGCAAGUAGAACGCUGAAGAGAGGAGCUUGCUCUUCUUGGGUGAGUUGCGAACGGGUGAGUAACGCGUAGGUAACCUGCCUUGUAGCGGGGGAUAACUAUUGGAAACGAUAGCUAAUACCGCAUAACAAUGGAUGACACAUGUCAUUUAUUUGAAAGGGGCAAUUGCUCCACUACAAGAUGGACCUGCGUUGUAUUAGCUAGUAGGUGAGGUAAUGGCUCACCUAGGCGACGAUACAUAGCCGACCUGAGAGGGUGAUCGGCCACACUGGGACUGAGACACGGCCCAGACUCCUACGGGAGGCAGCAGUAGGGAAUCUUCGGCAAUGGGGGCAACCCUGACCGAGCAACGCCGCGUGAGUGAAGAAGGUUUUCGGAUCGUAAAGCUCUGUUGUAAGUCAAGAACGGGUGUGAGAGUGGAAAGUUCACACUGUGACGGUAGCUUACCAGAAGGGGACGGCUAACUACGUG